rnacentral:rRNA from 1 species
CUGGCGGCGUGCCUAAUACAUGCAAGUCGAGCGAAUGACGAGGAGCUUGCUCCUCUGAUUAGCGGCGGACGGGUGAGUAACACGUGGGCAACCUGCCCUGUAGACUGGGAUAACUUCGGGAAACCGAAGCUAAUACCGGAUAAUCCAUUUCACAUCAUGGUGAAAUGUUGAAAGGCGCAUUUCGCGUCACUACAGGAUGGGCCCGCGGUGCAUUAGCUAGUUGGCGGGGUAACGGCCUACCAAGGCAACGAUGCAUAGCCGACCUGAGAGGGUGAUCGGCCACAUUGGGACUGAGACACGGCCCAAACUCCUACGGGAGGCAGCAGUAGGGAAUCUUCCACAAUGGACGAAAGUCUGAUGGAGCAACGCCGCGUGAGUGAUGAAGGUUUUCGGAUCGUAAAACUCUGUUGUAAGGGAAGAACAAGUACGUUAGGAAAUGAACGUACCUUGACGGUACCUUAUUAGAAAGCCACGGCUAACUACGUGCCAGCAGCUGC